AUGAUGAGAGUUGAUUAAAAAUUUUGCCACGACAAUUUGGUGUCAGAACGUGGGAUUCCUUGGAUGUGUCUUCAGGACCUGUGAGCGGACGGUGACUGAUCAUCCUGAACAAUAGAAGUUCAGCCCUAAUCCUGAUUAGAUUUGAGGGAGAAAGGGACUGACCGCCGAGGCCCGGAGGGGAUAACUGGAAUCAGUGGUGACAGAAAGGGACAGAAAGGUUGUUGUGCAAGAAUUGAGCCGUGAAUUUUUGAAUAGCGGAAGCAGAUAUUUCGAGAAAGGAGAACAAUGCAGAAAGAAUUAGCAACUAGAAAGGAGAGAGACAGUGAGCAGAGAGGAGGGGUCUAGGGCGAAGUCAGGGAAGUGAAAAUUUUCUAACCACAAACACACACACAUACACUGAUGUACUUUCUGCUCUCUGCAAUGAAGAAAAAAGCUUGCUUUACUUUGUGUAUGUCUGAUUCUGUUUAUAAACAUCCUGACAAAUGUGCUAUUAUGUUUAAGAGUGAAGCUUUUAUGAAAAUGCAUAAAUAUCCUAUGCUAGUGGAGGGGAUAUUGAUUGAGUUUUUAGCUGAUAUAUAUAUAUAUAUAUAUAUAUAUAGCUGUACAGCCAUGUGAUUUGCAAUGCCAACCACAAUUAACAGGUGAAAUUAAUGAGUCAAUAUCUGCAUCAGGGCACAUAAUUUGUGACAGGUUCACAGUGCCUCUGAAUUUUAAACCAGAAAGGGGGUGAGGUGCUGAGACAUGCUUUUCUCUACACCCCUGCAUGUCCAGUGCCUUUGAUGGGGAGAGAUUUAUUGUUCAAACUAAAUUUGACACUGAUUGCAGACUCUGGGGGUGUCCGAGUGGCAGAGAAAGAGCAGAUUUGCUGUCUGCAAGCAGAACCAAAAUAUGAAUGGCAUAUGAAUGGCACAUCAUAAAUUCUGAUUGGGCUUGAAUGAUGUGUGAAACUGGCUAAAAAUCGAACCAAACCAUUUCACAGAGAAAUCAUGUUGCCUGACAAAUUGCAUUGCACGUCACAUGUUGUAGUACAGCAAGAUGACCAGUAUGAAAAAGACUUUACGUUUUGAGAUGAAGAAACUUUACGUUUUGAGAAAAUGUUCUGUCAGUUUGCCUGACAGAAAAACAGCUUCAGUUUUACUCAAUGGCAGAAGAUUCUGUGCCUCGCUCUCCAAGGCCAGCAGACAGGGCCCAGAUUAGAACUGUUUGUGAAAAGCUGUGUUUGUGUUACAGACAGAGACAGAUAGGGGAGGGAGUGAAACACAGUGAGAGUCUGGGAGUGUUUAUGACAGAGUGCAAGCAUGAAAUUGAGCUAGAGAGAGUUAUGGGACCCAUUGACAAAAGGAAAAGGGAAAAUCAUUGCAUGACAGUCAUUUGUGCCUCAGAUAUACAUCCAGCACUAACAAAAGUGCCAUCAGAGUUAUGGGCAAAACACAAAUAUGAGGUGGGUUUGAUAAAAGGAUGUGAACCAGUUGUGGUCACCUCAAAAUCUGAUUACAGACCACGUCAGCGUCAAUACCCUCUAAAACAAGAGGCACGAUUCUUGGUAUAAAACUGGUAUUUGAGUCACUAUUGAAAGAGGGAAUAAUGGUGCCAUGCAAUGAUUCUCCAGUUCGUACUCCAAUUUUUCCUGUAAAAAAAAAUAAUAAUAAGGGACGAGGGUCAGCCCACAGAGUGGCGAUUUGUACAGGAUUUACAGGCUGUGAACGCUGCUGUCAUGCAAAGAGCUAAGAGCAAAGAGUACCAAAUCCAUACACAAUUUUAUCACAAAUACCACAAGAUGCAACAUUCAUUUUUGAGCUACCCCUGAGAGCCUUGAGAGGCAAGGGGUUGAAUUUAUAUGAUAGGAUUGAGUGGACAUGAGAAAGUGGAAGAGGCAUGUCUGAACAUGAAAGUUCAGCUGUCUGUGUUAGCCAAAGCCAACUCUGGGCUUGCCGGCCCCAAAUAAAACCUUUAUUCAGAUGGUUGAUGAGAAAAAUAUAUUUAUGACUUCUGUGUUGUUGCAGCAUCGUGGAGACAAAUUGAGACCCGUGGCAUAUUUUUCCAGCAAACUGGACCCAGUUGCAGCAGGCCUGCCACACUGUCUGAGGGCCGUGGCAGCUGCUGAGAAGGCCGAGAUGGCUUCUAGAGAAUUCGUAGGUUACUCUGAUCUGACAUUGACGGUGUCUCACGCAGUGUCCAUGAUUUUGCAGGAACAGAAAACAUCACACUUAUCGACAGCAUGAUGGUUAAGAUAUCAUACUAUUUUGCUUGAUAUGCCUAACAUCACUGUUAAGCGAUGCACAACCUUGAAUGUUGCUACUCUCCUUCCAACAGAGGAGGAUGGGGAAGAGCAUCAUUGUUGUUUAACAGCACUUGAACAAGUGUGUACACCAAGUCCAAACCUGUCUGACGUGCCACUUGAAAAUUGUGAAAAUGUCCUCUUUGUGGAUGGCUCAGCUUUUAAAGAUCCACAAACAGGCCUGAAUAAGGUUGGUUAUGCAAUAAAAACUGAAUUUGACAUUGUGGCCUCUGGCUCAUUGCCAUCAAAUUAUUCAGCACAAGCAGCUGAGCUUGUGGCAUUAACAGAAGCAUGCAAACUAAUGACAGACAAAUGUGUAACGAUUUACACAGAUUCACGCUAUGCAUUCGGGGUUACUCAUGAUUUUGGGGCGCUGUGGAAACACAGAAAGUUUUUAAAGUCAGAUGGGCGACCAAUAUUAAAUGCACCCCUCGUGGCAGAUUUGCUAGAUGCUAUUUUGCUGCCAGAAAAGAUAGCAAUUUGUAAAUGCACAGCGCAUACUAAUAACAAAGAUUAUGUAUCUACAGGAAACGUCAGAGCAGAUGCAGCGGCGAAUGCUGCGGCAUCUCAGCAGACAAAAUCAUCAGAGUGUACUUUGUUAUCUGAAAAUAACCCUGACAAUUUUUCAUCUUUACAGGGCAUGCAGACAUUUGCGACAGGACAGGAGAGAGAGAAAUCGAAGCAGUGUGGCUGUGAAGUGGUGAAUGGAGUAUGGAUGAGCAAAGAUGGCAAGCCUUGUUUACCUAAACACUUCUUUCCUCACUAUGCUAAGUCGAUGCAUGGGAAAGACCACGCAUCGAAAGGGGGAAUUGAAAUAUGCAAAUUAAAGAAUUGUGGUUACAAAGGGGUUCAAAAUUUAUGCUAAUUUUUUUUGAAAAAGAUGUGUCAUUUUUUAAUACACACAAUGUGGCAAGAGGCAUAAAAUGUCUCAGGUAUCCCAGACAGCCCUGAUGGAUUUCAUUGAACUCUUCCCAUGUGAAGGGAAGGAAAAAUGGUUUGGUAUUUGUGGACAUGUGGUCCAAAUGGGUAGAGGUCUGCCCAAUGUCCAAACAGGAUGCAGCAGCAGUAGUAAGGGCUCUGCUGACUGAAAUACUCCCGAGAUGGGGAAAUUCCACGAAAAAGCAGUUCGGGCAAUGAAACACAUUUUGUGCAGGGGCAAUAAAAAUCUAAUUGGCUAAGUGUUGUGAGAGAACUGAACUCACAUGGUUUAAGGUGCUCCCAAUCAUUCUCAUGUACAUGUGAAUGAGAAAUCGAUCCAGAGUAAACCUGAGCCCUUUUGAAAUUCUCUUUGGCUACCCACCAUUUGUGAGUAUUAAAGGGGUUAAACAACAGCUACCAUCGACAGAGGUGUGUGAGCAUGACAUGUUGAGUUAUUGCAAGGUAAUGUCUUUUCUGUUGUCUAAUGUCUGUGUUCAGGUGAAAGCUGCUCAGGAGAUGGUUGCUGAAACACCACUGCACAACCUGAAACCUGGAGAUUUCAUGGUGGUACGAGAUCUGAGGAGAAAGAGCUGGAAGGCGAAAAGGUGGCUGGGACCGUUCCAGGUGCUUCUGACCACUCAAACGGCUGUGAAAAUAGCAGAGAGAGCAACGUGGAUCCAGGCUAGCCACUGCAGAAAGGUCCCACAGAAGGAGUGGAGACACACACGUCAACAAGGCCAGAAUCCAGCCUAAACAUCAAGCGUCCUUAUCAGCGGGAAGAGCAAGGUGAAGACUCAAAAACAGCAUCGAAGUAGUCUGCGCACAAGUGAAAAUAUAAAUAUGAGCAUCAUAGUUGGAUACAUCAUGUUUACAUUUACAUUUACAUUUAUUCAUUUAGCAGACGCUUUUAUCCAAAGCGACUUACAGAUGAAGACGUUGGAAGCAAUCAAAAACAACAACAAAAAAGCAAUGAUAUAUAAGUGCUAUAACAAGUCUCAGUUAGGUUAACACAGUACACGUAGCAUGGGAUUUUAAAUAUUAUAAUAAAUAAAAAGAAAACAGAUAGAAUAAAAAAAAAAAAAAAAAAAGAAUAGAGCAAGCUAGUUAGAGGUCUUUGCACAUACACACACACAUACAUAUACAAUUGCAUAAUAAAUGAAAAGAAAAUAGAAUACAAAAAGAUUAGAAAGGUAGUUAGAUUUUUUAAAGAAUAGAAUUAGAAUAGGGAGUGUUAAAGUUAGAUGGUCAAAUAAAGAUGGAAGAGAUUCUUGAAGAUGGCUAAGGACUCAGCUGCUCGGAUUGAGUUGGGAAGUUCAUUCCACCAGAAGGGAACUUAACUUAAAAGUCCGUAAAAGUGACUUUGUGCUUCUUUGGGAUGGCACAAUCAAGCGACGUUCACUUGCAAAACGCUAGUUUCUAGAGGGCACAUAAGUCCGAAGUAACAAAUUUAGGUAAAUGGGUGCAGAGCCAGUGGUAGUUUUGUAGGCAAACAUCAAUGCCUUGAAUUUUAUGCGAUCAGCUAUUGGAAUCCAGUGCAAAUUGAUAAACAGAGGUGUGACGUGUAUUCUUUUUGGCUCAUUAAAAAUUAAUCUUGCUGCAGCGUUCUGAAUUAAUUGUAAAGGUUUGAUAGAAUUGGCUGGAAGACCUGCCAAGAGGGCAUUGCAAUAAUUCAGCCUGGACAGAACAAGACCUUGAACAAGGAGUUGUGCAUCAUGAUCCGAAAGAAAGGGUUUGAUCUUCUUGAUGUUGAAUAAAGCAAAUCUGCAGGAUCGGACAGUUUUAGCAAUGUGGUCUGAGAAAGUCAGCUGAUCAUCAAUCAUAACCAAGGUUUCUAGCUGUUUUUGAAGGAGUUAUGGUUGAUGUGCCUAACUUGAUGGUGAAAUUGUGAUGGAACGAUGGGUUUGCUGGAAUCACAAGCAGUUCUGUCUUGGCAAGGUUGAGUGGAAGGUGAUGGUCCAUCAUCCAGGAAGAAGUGUCAGUUAGACAAGCUGAGAUCCGAAUAGCUACCGUCGGAUCAUCAGGAUGGAAUGAGAGGUAGAGUUGAGUGUCAUCAGCAUAGCAGUGGUAUGAAAAGCCAUGUUUCUGAAUGACAGAACCUAAUGAUGCCAUGUAGACAAAGAAGAGAAGUGGUCCAAGAACUGAGCCCUGAGGCACCCCAGUAGUUAGAUGUUGAGACUUGGACACCUCACCUCUCCAAGAUACUUUGAAGGACCUAUCUGAUAGGUAAGACUCAAACCAUUGAAGUGUGGUUCCUGAGAUGCCACUUGCCAGUAGGGUUGAUAGGAGGAUCUGGUGGUGAACCGUAUCAAAAGCAGCAGACAGAUCAAGCAGGACAAGUACUGAAGAUUUGGAUUCUGCUCUUGCCAGUCUUAGAGCUUCAAUAACUGAGAGCAAGGCCGUCUCAGUAGAAUGUCCACUUCUGAAGCCAGAUUGGUUGCUGUCAAGGAGAUUGUUGUGUGUGAGAAAUGUUGUUUGAACACAGCUCGUUCAAGUGUUUUUGCAAUAAAAGGAAGAAGGGAAACUGGUCUGUAGUUCUCUAAAAGAGAUGGGUUGAGGUUGGGUUUCUUAAGUAGUGGAGUUAUACGUGCCUGUCUAAAUGAUGAAGGAAAAACACCAGUGUGGAGGGAAGUGUUGAUGAUGUGAGUGAGUGCAGGUACAACUGCAGGAGAAAUGGCUUGAAGGAGGUGAGAUGGAAUAGGAUCAAGCGGGCAAGUUGUAGGGUGAUUAGAAAGGAUGAGUUUUGAGACUUCUGCCUCAGAGAGUGAAGAGAAGGAUGUAAAUGAGUGUAAGUUUGCUGGUGAUAUGAGUUUGACUGAUUGUGGUGUGGAAAAUUGUGCACUAAUGUGUUUAAUUUUAUUAAUGAAAAACGUUGCAAAGGCAUCAGCUAUUAGAGAUGAAGCAGGAGGGGGAGGAGGACAAAGAAGUGAGGAAAAUGUUUUAAAAAGCAUGCGAGAGUUAGAUGAAUUGUUAAUUUUGUUAUGGUAGUAUGUCAUUUUAGCAGAGGAGACAUUAGCAGAGAAAGUAGAUAGGAGUGACUGAUACACAAUAAGGUCAGUAGUAUUUUUGGACUUGUGCCACACCCAGAAGCUCUAAGCUUAGAACGGUGUUCGCGUAGAACAUAACAUAACCAAGGGUGCAGAAGGGGUGUUACGGGCUGGCCUGGAAGAUAAGGGGCAAACAGUGUCUAAACAAGAUGUAAGAGUGGAGCAGAAAGUAUCAGUAGCACUGUUCGCGUCCAAAGAUGCAAACAGUUUAGGGGAAGAUGAAACAAUUGCAGAUAGGUGAUGUGUCAGGGAUCAUGUUGAGGUUAAGAGUGAGGAGGAAGUGAUCCGACGUGUGCAGUGGAGUAACCAGAACAUGAUCAGUAGAGCAGUUUCGUGUAUAAAUAAGGUCCAGUUGGUUGCCUGACUUGUGAGUAGCAGUAGUUGACACUCGGCUGAAAUCAAAAGAGGCAAGCAGUGAAAAAUGUAAGAGGUUUUUAAUGACAGACUAAAUGGUUUAGAUUGUUUAAAACAAUUGAGUUUAUGCAUUUCUCUUGAAUGUGUGUACGAUAACCGUUGCAUAUAUGAAGCAGAAGAAAUACAUAAACUCAUUGUGGUUGAUGUUAAACAAUAAAAAAAAUAUUAUUUAUACAUCAUAACUUACUUUCUUUUCAAAACACAAUAAACAUUCUUAUGACUUUUUUAACUACGAACAACGGGUUUGGUUGGAAAAUAAAAAAUAAAUAAAAACAUAUUAUGUUUCUUAGUUAGAAUGCUUAUAGUUUGUAGUAAAAUCACAUACAGUAUAUAAGCGAAAACAUUUUAUGCUUUAGUGAUCAAUGAAUGAUAAAAAGGGGGAAAUUGUGGUGGAAAAUUCAUUGAACAUUGCUUCUGUAUGCCUAUAUAUGCAUGUGUUUUCUUUCAAUUGCUGUGUGGGUUCAGAAGGGUGACACCUGGGGGGAAAACAGAUGUCUGAGAAUGACCUGAGAGGGUCACUGGGCCAUAUAGUGGGGGGACAAUGUCCGAGGAUGAUCUUAGGGGGUCACCUAAGUCCUAAAUGUGUGUGAAACAGCCCAUAGAGAGUGUUCCUUGUUAUGUGUGGAAAUUUACAGCUGCUAAGACUUUGUAACCUUGAAGCAGCAGAGGUAUAUAAGGUGGAGGACUGCCCUCUUCCUGGGUCGGUUUCACUCUGCAGGAACUCAGUGUUGCUGUAUGACUGUCUGACCUUCUUUGCAAAGAAUAAAAGCUUUAUUUUUAAUUAUACCUGAGAAUGAGUCUGUCUCUUAUGCUGAUGAGAGUUGAUUAAAAAUUUUGCCACGGCAGACACAACGAAGCAUAUCAUCAAGCAGUGGAAACACUGUGUCAACGGAUCAAGACUGACUUUCCAGUCAGAGUGAACACCUCCAAAAUCACGAAGAAGAGCAGGGGACAAAGUCUGUCUCAGGCUGAUCCAGAUGUUUGCUUUUACUGGUGCAGAAGGGACAUUGAAAAAUUUCACUGUGCACAUUAGAUCAACCAAACGGCGGCUGGACCAGAGAAAGCUGAGGCAGACUGACAACAGAGACUUUCACAGCAGAAGCUGGAGAAGAAGGGGGGAGUCGGGAGCAAAGUCCACCAAGGCCACGCAGCACAAACAGAUAAGUCUGAAAACACACACAUUUUCUCUAAAGCUCACUGCAAUGAAGAAAGAAUGCUUGCUCAUGUUUCUGCUCACUGCAACGAAGAAAAUAUGCUUGCUCAUAUUUCCGCUCUUAGCAAUGAAGAAAAAUGCUUGCUUUAAUACAUGAUCAUAUUGAAAGAUUAGAAAAUGAUAAAUCUUCUCUCGACAAGAACAUAGGCACAUAAAUUAGCUUACAAACAAAUGCCACAUAGAUUAUGGGUUAAUGGAGUUGAAAAACUAAUUAGAAAGGAUGAAAUAGAUCCAAUUCCAAAAAUUAAGUGGAAAUUUAGUUUGGUCUAUUACUGCAUCUGGUUAUAUGGUCAGAGAAAAUUUCACUGUACCAUUGAGAUGUAAAGAUUAGAAUGGCAUGAACUUUAAGCAUUGUUUACUAAAAAAACUUUUGUCAGAAAACUGCCUUCAAAAUGAGUAAGAAAGAGAUUUAAUGUGAAACUGGGAAGUGGCCCAGUGCCAAAUUCAAACUUCAGCUCAAUCCAACAAUGGCAGUUCUAUAUUUACCAGUGUAAACGGAAAGAUGAUGAAUUAUGUGAAAAGUUUGUCAAGGCUGCAAAAGACAGUUUCACCUAAUUCUGAAUUAAGCAAUUCUCUGAUUUACAUUGCUCAGCACAUAUAUCAUUGGGAGAAGAUUAAAUUUUAGAACAAAAAUGGUUUUAUGUAUAGAAACAACAGACCUGAAAUAGUUAAUUGAGACAUAAAAUAGAUGCGCUGUUUCUGUUGAUUUGAGAAACAGCAAAUGUUGUUUGAUUCUCUUCCACAUGUUUCAUUGUCCAAAAAAGAACAAUGACCAUAGGGAAGACAUUGGUUUAUUUGUAAAAAUGUGUAUUUUUCAUGUGAAUUGGGUGGAGACAGCAGAGGAAAAUGUUGAAUACAAUCCAACACUGUCUGCAUACCGAAUGUGUUUGCACGGGACUGCUGUUAAAGCUGUACGUACAGUAUGUGAUUGAUGACACAAUGACAACAAUCUUUCUCUCAGGAGAGAAAGCAGAGACUCACCCAGUGCUCAAAGAAUUCCCUAAAACACUUUGGGCUUUAUCUAAAUUUGACUUGGGGCUUGUUAAAAAUUGGGAACCAGUUCAAGUCAAUCCAAAAUCUGAUUACAGACUCUGUGAACACCAGUUUUUGAAUCAUUAAGAGCAGCUGGGGUAAUUGUGCUCUGUGAAAAUUCUCCUGUGCAUACACCUAUUUUCACUGUUAAAAGAUAAAGAAAUAUGCAAACAAGACACUGUAAAACUUUUAAAACUUUUGGCUGCUGAGGGUCAUAAGCCAGUUUAUUAAAACUGCAGUUUGUAAAAAGGGAGGAGACAUUUUUUGGUCAUCAUCACUAAAAAUGGCAAAUUUUAAUCUGAGAAACAAAAAGAGACAAUUCAAAAGAUUCUAAAGCCUAUCAUGAAAAAGCAACUAAUGUCAUUUUGGGGCAUGUGUUCGUAUUGUUGAACGUUCAUUCCAAAUUAUGUUAUCAAAGAAUUGCCCCUGAGCGCUUUGGCUCAUGGGAAGGGAUUGCAACCCCAUGACAAACUGACCUGGAUUCCAGAAGCAGAGAGUGCAUUUAAGAAUAUAUUAUUGCUACAAACAUCACCAACCCUAGGACUCCCAGACCCAGAGAGAAAUUUUGGACAAACUGUUGAUAAGAGAAUGGGUUUCUGACUUCUGUUCUGUUACAGGAUCGUGGGGGAGACCUGUGGCCUAUUUUUAGAGUUAGCUCGAUCCGGUAACGGCAGGCAGUCCAAAAUGCCUGAGUGCUGUUGAAUAUGCAGAAAAGGCUAUUUUAGCUUCAAGGGAAAUUGUGGGGUACUCUGAUGUGACUUUGCUCAGGCCACGCACUGUCUCUGUGAUUCUGUUGGAACAGAAAACAUCCCAUUUGUCAACGGCCAGGUGUCUCCGGUACAAUGCAAUUCUAUUAGAAAUGCCAAACAUCACAAUUAAAUGAUGCACAGUGUUAAAUCCAGCUACACUGCUCCAUACGAAGCAGGAUGGGGAAGAACACAAUUGUGUUGCCACAUUUGAACAGGUCUGUCAACCAAGACCAGAUUUUAAAAGACACCCCCUUAGAAAUUGCUGACUUAAUUUUAUUAAUUGAUGGUUCGAGACCCCCCCCCCCCCAAAAAAAAACAGAGCAAGUUAAGCUGCAACCACUGCAUAUGCAACAAUAAGAUCUGGAGCGCUCCACGUUCAUUGCUCUUCGCAAGCGGCUGAAUUGAUAGCAUUGACGGAAGCUUGCAAAAUUGCUGAUGGACGAACAGUUACCAUUUACACAAAUUCUUGUUUCUCUUUUGGGGUUUGUCAUGAUUUUGGGGCAUUGUGGAAACACAGGAAAUUUCUAAAGUCUAAUGGUAAGCCUGAUUUAAAUACAAUUUGAUAAAAUAGCAGCAUUGUUAGAAGCAAUUUUGUUACCAAAGUUAGUUGCUAUCUGCAAAUGCGUCACACAUUCCAAAAGUUAUGAUUUUGUGAUUUUAGGUAACAAGUAAACUGAUACCACAGCGAAAGACACAGCUAUGAGAACAGAACCUUCUUUUACCUGUGUAACAUUUAACAAUGAUUAAUUCACACUCCCUUCUGAUUAUCUUACAGCUAUGCAAGCUUUUGCCACACCAGACGACAAGAAACAAUGGGUGAAGGCUGAGUGCAAGCUAUCUUUGGCCGAUUACUGAAGACAGACCAUGUCUGCCAAAACACUUUUUCCCACACUAUGCAAAACUUGUACAUGGCCUAGAUCACAUGAGUAAAGGGGGAAUGUUUGAUUUGUUAAAUUAAUAUUGUUCCAUAAAGGGAUUCACUUCCUUUGCAGACAGGUAUUGUCACUCAUGUAUGAUCUGUGCCACAAGCAAAGUGGACAGAGGACAAAUGAUGUCUCAAGCGGCACACCCAGUUCCAAAUCAGAGAAUUGAUAAUAUAAUGUACAAUUGAAAGCAUAACUGAUAAUGCAAAUAAAAUGAUCAGUCAGAUGUGACAUAAAAGAGAAAAUUAAUGAAGUGUUGUGAGCAGACAGGACUGUUUUGGGUAAAAGAACUCCCCAUUGUGUUCAUGUACAUGAGAAUGGCAAAAAGAAGAGUAUAACUUGAGUCCAUUUGAUAUUUUGUUUGGUAGGCCAACUUCCAAUGGAGUUGGACCAGAACCACAACCACUGUCCUCUACAGCCUUGUGUGAAGAUGACAUGCUGAAGUGUAGUAGAAAGUUGUCUCUUGUUCUCUCUCAGAUAUCUCAGCAGGUCAAGGAUGCUCUGCCCAAGCCAGCGGAAGGAGUCUGGCAUGAUAUCAGGUCUUGCUGAUAACACAGAGGUUAAAGUGGCAGAGGGAGCUACGUGGAUACACGCAAGUCACUGCAGGAAGGUUCGAGCACCACCAGAGGGCUACAGCUCAGUAAAGUGAUUGACCAGCUGCCCCGUGCCAAGGGGGAUGUCUGGCUGACUGAGGAAACUUGUUGGGGAGGAUUCGAUGUCUGUUGAGAACCAUGUGAAUGUGCUACAAAGUGAGUUUCAGAAAACACAUCCAGACACCUCGACUGUCAAAGUCCACACGGCACAAAAAGUCUCCUGGAGAUGUUGAGAAAGCAUGGAAGGAAUGUCUGUGGAGGAUGUACUCAAAAAAUACCCAUACUUAAGUACACCUGCUGGAGUAUCGUUGACUGGCAGUCUGUCAGUCUAGAUGUGAGGAAGACAUGCAGAGUGGAGUUGGAACUCAGCAGAUCUAUCUAUCUAUCUAUCUAUCUAUCUAUCUAUCUAUCUAUCUAUCUAUCUAUCUAUCUAUCUAUCUAUCUAUCUAUCUAUCUAUCUAUCUAUCUAUCUAUCUAUCUAUCUAUCUAUCUAUCUAUCUAUCUAUCUAUCUUUUACUUGAAUUGGCAACUGAAACUGAAAGCUAAGUAAAAGUUUUAGUGGAUAAAGCUGUA